rnacentral:rRNA from 1 species
UACGUAGGGUGCGAGCGUUGUCCGGAAUUAUUGGGCGUAAAGAGCUCGUAGGCGGUGUGUCACGUCGGCCGUGAAAACCUGCAGCUUAACUGUGGGCGUGCGGUCGAUACGGGCAUCACUGGAGUUCGGCAGGGGAGACUGGAAUUCCUGGUGUAGCGGUGAAAUGCGCAGAUAUCGGGAGGAACACCAAUGGCGAAGGCAGCUUGCUGGGACGGUACUGACGCUGAGGCGCGAAGGCCAGGGGAGCAAACGGG